ACCUGGGUGGCUCAGUCAGUUGAGCGUCUGACUUUGACUCAGGUCAUGAUCUCCUGGUUUGUGAGUUCGAGCCCCACGUCGGGCU
rnacentral:tRNA from 1 species